rnacentral:rRNA from 1 species
UGGGGGAUAUUGCACAAUGGGCGAAAGCCUGAUGCAGCGACGCCGCGUGGGGGAUGAAGGCCUUCGGGUUGUAAACUUCUUUUGCUCUGAACAAGGCGCACCAUGGGGUGUGUUGAGUGUAGGGGUUGAUUAGCGCCGGCUAACUACGUGCCAGCAGCCGCGGUAAUACGUAGGGCGCGAGCGUUGUCCGGAAUUAUUGGGCGUAAAGGGCUUGUAGGUGGCUGGUUGCGUCUGUCGUGAAAGCUCAUGGCUUAACUGUGGGUUUGCGGUGGGUACGGACUGGCUUGAGUGCAGUAGGAGAGGCUGGAAGUCCUGGUGUAGCGGUGGAAUGCGCAGAUAUCAGGAGGAAUACCGGUGGCGAAGGCGGGUCUCUGGGCUGUUACUGACACUGAGGAGCGAAAGCAUGGGGAGCGAACAGG